CUCCGUGGCCGCCCAGGCGCCACAGCGGGGAGCCGCGGUCGACCCCUCCGGGAUGGGGGCCAGGGCAGCCUCCGCGGCUAUCCCGGGAGUCCUGCUCCGACACCACCUCCACAGGGGAAGCCGCUCGGAGAGACGCAGGGACCCAGGCAAGGGAUGCGGGCAAACGCGCCAAGGGUUCAGCAGAGGGGCGUGACCGCCAGUUGGCCGGGCUGAGCGAGGCGCCAGAGGGAAGCCUGCAAGGUCCGGAUUGCGGCUGUCCCUGUGUGACACGGC
rnacentral:lncRNA from 1 species